rnacentral:rRNA from 1 species
UACGUAGGGGGCGAGCGUUGUCCGGAUUUAUUGGGCGUAAAGCGCGCGCAGGCGGUGCGUCGCGUCCGGUGUGAAAGCCCCCGGCUCACCUGGGGGAGGUCAUCGGAGACGGACGGACUGUGAGGCAGGCAGAGGCCGGUGGAAUUCCCGGUGUAGUGGUGAAAUGCGUAGAGAUCGGGAGGAACACCAGUGGCGAAGGCGGCCGGCUGGGCCUGACCUGACGCUGAGGCGCGAAAGCGUGGGGAGCGAACCGG